AAUAUUGCGCAAUGGGGGAAACCCUGACGCAGCAACGCCGCGUGAGCGAUGAAGGCCUUCGGGUCGUAAAGCUCUGUCAGGAGGGAUGAAUAAUGACAGUACCUCCUGAGGAAGCCCCGGCUAACUACGUUCCAGCAGCCGCGGUAAUACGUAGGGGGCAAGCGUUGUCCGGAAUUACUGGGCGUAAAGGGCGCGUAGGCGGCCAAAUAAGUCAGAUGUGGAAGUCCACAGCUCAACUGUGGAAUUGCAUUUGAAACUAUUUGGCUUGAGUGCAGGAGAGGAGAGCGGAAUUCCUAGUGUAGCGGUGAAAUGCGUAGAGAUUAGGAAGAACACCAGUGGCGAAGGCGGCUCUCUGGACUGUAACUGACGCUGAGGCGCGAAAGCGUGGGUAGCGAACAG
rnacentral:rRNA from 1 species